rnacentral:lncRNA from 1 species
UGCCAGGCUGGAACAGGCUGUAAAGAGGCAAAGCGUGUGAGCCUUAUCAUCCAAUCAUCCGGAAAGCAACCUUGACUCUACAUGCUUCAAUAGUGCCCAUUUCGCCUCUUGUAAACCCUUAUGCUUUCCAUAUAAAUAUGUAACCUCACUCAUUAAUAAAAUUAUGCAGUUUGAGUCUCUCUAAUCUCUUAGACACUAUGGUUCUCUCUUAGACUCUAAACGGCUCUAUCUAGUCUCUUUAUCUUUCACAAACUUCUCUUAAUCACUUCUUAAACACUCUCUUUAUUCUGAUUACUCUAAGGAUCUCUUAAUCUCAUAUGGUAUCAGAGCCAGGUUCAUUUGAAUCUGGGGUUUGAUCUUUAGAGAGUUACAAGCUAACGGCUUUGAAGCUACACGCGAGUAGUUUUGAAGGUGUUGAAGCUGUUAUACGUUCUAGUUGAAGCUGUGCUACGUUCUGUGUGUUUGCGUGAUUCUAGACUCAAGGUUGGUGUGUACGAGAUUCAAGAUUCAAGUUUUCAAGUCAAGCAAAGAUGGAACAUGGGAUGAACAUGAGGAUGAAGGUAGCGGUUACUUUCAAAGGUAGCAACUACCUUGUGUGGUCUCGGAUGGUGAAGACUGCGGUGGGAAGAAAGGGUUUGUGGGGGCACAUCACAACAGGGGAGGCUCCGAAACUCAUUACUCAAGGAGGAGAUCAAGAAGAGGUCUCCAAUGAAGCGGCUGUGGAGAAAUGGCAACAAGAAGACAUGCUGGUGAUGACGGUUCUACACGCAUCCUUGGACCCAGCUAUCUUGGAUGCCUACAGCUACUGUGAAUCAGCCAAAGAGCUGUGGGACACGCUGAAGAAGGUGUAUGGGAACACUUCCAACCUCAGCCGUGUGUUUGAAGUGAAGCUAGCGAUCAACCGUCUUGCACAAGAGGACAUGGAGUUCACUAAGCACUUGGGGAGGUUCAGGUCCUUAUGGUCAGAGCUGGAGAUGCUGAGGCCGAGCACAACUGAUCCAGAUCAGUUGAAUGAGAGGCGCGAGCAAGACAAGGUCUUUGGGUUGCUUCUCACACUGAACCCGGCCUACACUCAACUCAUCCAGCACAUGCUAAGGUCAGACAAGCUUCCGGACCUUGAGGAGGUGUGUGCGCAAAUCCAAAGGGAGCAGGGAUCUAUGGGGUUGUUUGGAGGAAAGGGGGAGCUCUCUCUUGCCAAUCAAGCAGCUCAUGAGGACUCAACCGAGACUCCACAAGCAAACAAGGCAUCUCACGGGAAGUAUGAGGACAGGAAGUUCAAUGGCAACUGUGAUCAUUGCAAGAAGCAUGGUCAUAAGAAGAGCCAAUGCUGGAUACUACACCCACACCUCAAGCCGGCCAAGUUCAUGAAGGAGCGUGAGGGAAGGGCAAAUGUGACUGAAGGUUCAAGUGGAGCUGGCACCAGCAAGAUCAGUGAAGUGUAUGAGAUUUGAGAGCUCGAUGGGAAUGGGAAGUCUCUGGUGGCUUACACAGGCGCCUCAAGCUCNNNNNNNNNNNNNNNNNNNNNNNNNNNNNNNNNNNNNNNNNNNNNNNNNNNNNNNNNNNGAUAAGGUCUUGAACUAGUUGAAUAAGAGGUCUGAUGAAACUAGUAUGAACUUGAAUCAGAAACAAAGAGACUUUGAGAGAUUAAGAGAUUAGAGACUAAGAAAGGGGUAGAUUAAGGGAAUCUGAUCAAGAACACACUUUUAUAAUUAUGAAGGAGAUGGGGAAAACCCCCCAUACUCUCUUAAGAGAGUUACAAACGCCCAUGAGGGUCUUUAUAUAGGUUUUACACUCUUGCAAACUCAUAAACCUAUAUCUAAUGGAUAGAAAUAACUUAAGAGGAAUGGAUGGUGAGGAUGAGUUGGUCUUGUUGUAAUCUGAGUGAUGUGUGCUGAUUGGAUAAGCUAAGCUGGCUCACUUUAAUUCAAACCAAGGCAAGCUGGCUCCUUGCUUGUGAUUGGCUCUCCUUAGGCUCCUCCAAACCUUCCCAUGCAUCUGUCCAGGUUCAUGGUCGUGGCUCCCUUCUCUUUACAGCAAGAGACAGCCUGUCCAAGACCAGAACUAGCCAAUCACACACAAGGAAGCUCCCAUUGGUUGUUUGCCUCCACAAAGCAUCUUCUUCAUUCCCUUUGACUAGAUUCAAACCUUGGUGCCUUAUCCAUAUACUAUGCACACUCUUCACAUCCUGAAUAGUGACCCAAAUAGUGAAUAGUCAACCUGAAUAGUGACUAGUGAUUCACUAUUCACUUUUACACCAACUUGCCCAAACUUCUCCAAUCUUACUGUGGUAACUCGCCAAAGUUACUGUGGUAACUUUGGAGUUACUGUCUGACCCAAAUCUUCUCUAAAUGGUGUCUAAGUCCCUCCUGGACUUAACCCUAUCUUUGCACACUCAUCAGACCACUUCUGAAGCCUUAAGACUCUCCCAAAGCCUUAACAUACAAUCUCUGAAGAUCUUGCCAUGUCUUUGCACAAGCACCAACUCAACUCAUCACUUUUGCUUCUCCACUUCUUCUCUUCAAGUUAACAAAGUGGAUGGGCUUGGAGGCAAUGAUGGGAAUGGGAAGUCUCUGGUGGCUUACACAGGCGCCUCAAGCUCCCGCAGCAAUGAUGACUACAUCAAGAGAUCAGACCUUGAUGCCCUCUUCAAAAUGCUAAAGGAAAACGGUAACACUUACGGUUAUUCCUUUGGAGCUUCUAUGAUUGCAUAUAAGGAUGAUCACUUGAUUAGAGAACUAGUAGAACGGUUAGAAGCUAGGAGUGAGUAUAGACAUGCUCACAUUGCUAGAACUGAUAGGAUGCAUCCAUCACUUAGUAAUCUAUGUCAUAAUGCUAAACGAGUAGGUAAACCAUUGAUUGUUGAUUCUGGUGCAUCACAUCAUAUGAUAAGUGAUGAGAACUUGAUUAAGGAUAUAGAACCUACACAUGGGCAUGUGAUGAUAGCAAAUGGGGAUAAGAUACCCAUUAGAGGAAUAGGAAAGCUUAAGCUGUUUAACAAAGAAUCUAGAGCUUUUUACAUGCCUGAAUUCACAUCAAACCUAUUAUCAGUGAAGAAAUGUACUAAUGAUUUACAAUGCAAUGUUAUCUUUAGUCCUAAUGAUGUGAAGUUUCAGGAUAUUGAGAGCAGCAGAUUGAUUGGGAAAGGGGUGACUAAGGGAGAUCUCUAUAUGCUUGAAGAACUCACUUCUGUUCCUGAUUAUAGUUGCUCGUUUACUUCUGCUUCUUUGUUGAAUAAAAAUGCAUUGUGGCAUGCUAGAGUAGGACACCCUCAUGUUAAAGCUUUGAACUUAAUGGUACCAGGUGUUAUGUUUGAGAACAAGGAUUGUGAGGCUUGUAUUUUAGGCAAGCAUUGUAGAACUGUGUUUCAAAAGUCUACUACCGUUUAUGAUAAUUGCUUUGAUCUAAUUCAUUCAGAUGUGUGGACUGCCCCUUGCUUAUCUAGAGAUAGUUAUAAGUAUUUUGUCACAUUCAUUGAUGAAAAAUCCAAAUACACCUGGUUAACCUUAAUUCAGACCAAAGAUAGGGUACUUGAUGCAUUUAGGAACUUUCAAACUUAUGUAACUAACCAUUAUCAUGCUAAGAUUAAAAUUUUGAGAUCAGAUAAUGGAGGAGAGUACACGAGUCAUGCAUUCAAGCAACACCUAUCACAACAUGGGAUCCUACAUCAAACAAGCUGUCCGUAUACUCCACAGCAAAAUGGAGUGGCUGAAAGGAAGAAUAGGCAUCUCAUGGAAGUGGCAAGGUCACUUAUGUUUCAGAGUAAUGUUCCAAAGAGAUUUUGGAGUGAUGCGGUUGCCACUGCUUGUUACCUGAUAAACAGAACUCCAACCAAAGUUCUGAAUGAGAAGGCUCCAUUUGAAGUUUUGAACAGGUACAAGCCAGCUCUUGAUUACUUGCGAGUCUUUGGAUGCCUAUGCUUUGUGCUCAAACCAGGAGAGAUGAUCAACAAGCUAGAAGCAAGAAGCACUAAGGCUGUGUUCAUAGGAUACUCAGCUACACAGAAAGGAUACAAAUGCUACGAUCCUAUUGCAAGGAGAGUUCUUGUAUCUAGAGAUGUGAAGUUCUUGGAAGAUAGAGGAUACUAUGAAGAAAAGAAUCAAGAAGACCUGAAGGACUUAACAUCAGACAAGGCCACCACCUUGCGGAUCAUCCUUGAAGGUCUUGGAAUCAGUACAUCCCAGGAUCCGAGGAAUCACGCAACUACACCUCCUGAAGUUGGAUCACCAUCCCACCUUGAUCAUGAGGGAGGAGAGGAGCAUGAGGAGCCUAUGCACCUGAAGUUGGAUCACCAUCCCACCUUGAUCAUGAGGGAGGAGAGGAGCAUGAGGAGCCUAUGCAAGAGGCCAACCAAAAUGAAGGAGAAGAGAGCAUAGGCUCGGAUGGUCAUGGACAUGAUCAUGGUGUGACACAAACACCUUCUCAAGAUGAAGUGGUAGAAGAACAAUAGGAAGAAGAACCGGUUGUGCAGCCACUAAGAAGGAGUACAAGGAUAAGGAAGGAUCCUUCCAGUUGGGUAAACACGAGAGUGUACUACAAUGCCCAAGCUGUGGAGCAUCCUUCUCAAGCCGUGUGCUCCUUUGCUCAAUAUCCAGAAGCACAUUGCGCUUUUAUGGUAAACUUGGAUGAGAAUCACAUCCCAAGAAGCUAUGAAGAGGCAAUGAAAGAUAAAGAAUGGAAGGAAUCAGUUGGAGAUGAGGCAGGAGCGAUGAUCAAGAAUGAUACAUGGUAUGAGAGUGAGUUACCAAAAGGGAAGAAGGCUGUUACUAGUAGAUGGAUAUUCACAAUCAAGUACAAAGCGGAUGGAAAGGUUGAGAGGAAGAAGUCAAGGCUAGUUGCAAGAGGUUUCACUCAAACUUAUGGAGAAGAUUACAUAGAAACCUUUGCACCAGUAGCUAAACUACACACAAUCCGGAUUGUACUAAGCUUGGCUGUGAAUCUUGGAUGGGGGUUAUGGCAAAUGGAUGUGAAGAAUGCAUUCCUACAAGGUGAACUUGAGGAUGAAGUGUAUAUGCAUCCUCCUCCAGGCCUUGAACACUUAGUGAAGAGAGGGAAUGUGUUGAGACUGAAGAAAGCUAUCUAUGGGCUGAAGCAAUCACCAAGAGCUUGGUACAACAAGUUGAGCACUACUCUGAAUGGCCGAGGCUUCAAGAAGUCUGAACUAGAUCACACCCUCUUCACACUCACGACUCCCUCAGGUAUGAUUGCACUCCUUGUGUAUGUUGAUGAUAUCAUUAUCACAGGGAGUGAUAAGGAAGGUAUCAUAGCAACCAAGAAGUUUCUUAAAUCCAUGUUUGAGAUUAAAGAUUUGGGAGAAAUGAAAUACUUUCUUGGAAUUGAGAUAUGUAGAUCCAAGGAAGGUUUGUUCAUGUCCCAAAGGAAGUAUACACUUGAUCUUUUGAAAGGUGCAGGUGCUUAUGGAGGCAAGACAGCAAGGAUGCCUAUGGAGGAUGGCUACAAAGUCCCACGAGAGGGGGAGAUUGAAGACAGCAAACCUUAUCAGGAUCCUAAACUCUAUAGAAAACUAGUUGGCAAAUUGAUUUACCUCACUAUAACUAGACCUGACAUUUGUUUUGCUGUGAAUCAGGUGAGUCAACACAUGCAAGUGCCUAAGGAACAUCAUUGGCGCAUGGUGGAGAGGAUCUUGAUGUAUCUCAACGGCUCACCUGAUCAAGGAGUAUGGAUGGGCUGCAAUGGAAGCACUGAAGUGGUGGGAUACUGUGAUGCGGAUUGGGCUGGUGAUAGAGCAGACAGGAGAUCAACCACAGGCUAUUGCACAUUCAUUGGAGGCAACUUGGUGACUUGGAAGAGUAAGAAGCAGAAGGUGGUGUCUUGCUCAAGUGCAGAAGCUGAGUAUAGAGCUAUGCUGAAGCUCACCAACGAGUUAGUAUGGAUCAAAGGCAUCUUGAAGCAUUUGGAGAUUGAUCAAGCCACGCCAAUGACCAUGCAUUGUGACAACCAAGCCGCCAUUCACAUUGCCUCCAACUCGGUGUUCCAUGAGAGAACCAAGCACAUUGAAGUUGACUGUCACAAGGUGAGGCAGAUGAUCAUCUUAGGAGUCAUCUUGCCAUGCUACACAAGGAGUGAAGAUCAGUUAGCGGACGUGUUUACCAAGGCUGCAAGACAGAAGACAAUGGAGUCCAUUCACACCAGGUUGGGCCUCAUUGAUCUUGGGAAGAGAAGGAGCUAAUCCCCUUAGCUGCAAGGUCUUUACUCUUUUUCCCUCAUCAAAGUUUUAUCCCAUUGGGUUUUCUUUGGUGAGGUUUUUAAUGAGGAAGAUCUUGUAGCUUUCCAAGCUUAGGCUUUCACAAAGCUAAGCUUGAGGGGGAGCUUCAUGCCAACUCCUAUGAGAUUUAUUCAACUUCCUGGUGAUUCUCCACCACUUUAUGUAUCCAAAUCAAGCUUCUCACAAAUGUUGAGUUGAGUUGAUUAUAUUGGUAUGGAGAGAAGAGGAGUUGAAGAGGAGAAGAGAUGGAGAAGCUUAGGGAGUUUGGGUGUGAAUGGUACGGACGUCCGUACAAGGCCGUACAUGGCCGUACCGUCCGUACCAAAGGUCUCGACCAAAACUUACCCAACUCGACCAAGUGAAACGGUAACAAGGGAAUGUUACCUUGGGGACUUAAGGAGAAGGGAUCAGACCGUUGAGUGGAUAAGGGAAGAGCAAGACAGGCUGUGACAGGCUGUAAAGAGCCAAAGCAUGUAAGGCUUCCCAUCCGUCCAUUCAAGAGCGUGCCAGGCUGGAACAGGCUGUAAAGAGGCAAAGCGUGUGAGCCUUACCAUCCAAUCAUCCGGAAAGCAACCUUGACUCUACAUGCUUCAAUAGUGCCCAUUUCGCCUCUUGUAAACCCUAAUGCUUUCCAUAUAAAUAUGUAACCUCACUCAUUAAUAAGAUCAUGCAGUUUGAGUCUCUCUAAUCUCUUAGACUAUGGUUCUCUCUUAGACUCUAAACGAUUCACUCUAGUUACUUAAUCUUUCACAAACUUCUCUUAAUCACUCCUUAAACACUCUCUUUAUUCUGAUUACUCUAAGGAUCUCUUAAUCUCAUUUGGUAUCAGAGCCAGGUUCAUUUGAAUCUGGGGUUUGAUCUUUAGAGAGUUACAAGCUAACGGCGUUGAAGCUACACGCGAGUAGUCUUGAAGCCGUGAUACGUUCUAGUUGAAGCUGUGCUACGUUCUGUGUGUUUGCGUGAUUCUAGACUCAAGGUUGGUGUGUACGAGAUUCAAGAUUCA